rnacentral:rRNA from 1 species
AUUGAACGCUGGCGGCAGGCCUAACACAUGCAAGUCGAGCGGUUGAAGGGAGCUUGCUCCUGGAUUCAGCGGCGGACGGGUGAGUAAUGCUUAGGAAUCGGCCUGGUAGUGGGGGAUAAGGUCCGGUAACGGGCGCUAAUACCGCAUACGUACUGAGGGAGAAAGCGGGGGAUCUUCGGACCUCACGCUAUCAGAUGAGCCUAGGUCGGAUUAGCUUGUUGGUGGGGUAAAGGCCUACCAAGACGACGAUCCUUAACUGGUCUGAGAGGAUGAUCAGUCACACUGGAACUGAGACACGGUCCAGACUCCUACGGGAGGCAGCAGUGGGGAAUAUUGGACAAUGGGCGAAAGCCUGAUGCAUCCAUGCCGCGUGUGUGAAGAAGGUCUUCGGAUUGUAAAGCACUUUAAGUGGGGAGGAAGGGAAGAAAGUUAAUACCUUGCUGUUUUGACGUUACCAACAGAAUAGGCACCGGCUAACUUCGUG